UACGUAGGGCGCAAGCGUUGUCCGGAAUUAUUGGGCGUAAAGAGCUCGUAGGCGGUUUGUCGCGUCUGCUGUGAAAACUCGAGGCUCAACCUCGGGCUUGCAGUGGAUACGGGCAGGCUAGAGUUCGGUAGGGGAGACUGGAAUUCCUGGUGUAGCGGUGAAAUGCGCAGAUAUCAGGAGGAACACCGAUGGCGAAGGCAGGUCUCUGGGCAUUAACUGACGCUGAGGAGCGAAAGCGUGGGGAGCGAACAGG
rnacentral:rRNA from 1 species